rnacentral:rRNA from 1 species
UUCCGGUUGAUCCUGCCAGAGGUUACUGCUAUCGGAGUUCGAUUAAGCCAUGCGAGUCUAAAGGUUUCUUCGGAAACCUUGGCGGACUGCUCAGUAACACGUGGAUAACCUACCCUUGGGACUGGAAUAACCCCGGGAAACUGGGGAUAAUACCGGAUAGAUCAGGGAUGCUGGAAUGCACCUUGAUCCAAAGCUCCGGCGCCCAAGGAUGGGUCUGCGGCCUAUCAGGUAGUAGUGGGUGUAACGUACCUACUAGCCAACGACGGGUACGGGUUGUGAGAGCAAGAGCCCGGAGAUGGAUUCUGAGACACGAAUCCAGGCCCUACGGGGUGCAGCAGGCGCGAAACCUUUACAAUGUGCGAAAGCAUGAUAAGGGAACUCCGAGUGCCAGUAUCUAAUACUGGCUGUCCUUGUGCCUAAAACGCACAAGAUAGCAAGAGCCGGGUAAGACCGGUGCCAGCCGCCGCGGUAACACCGGCGGCCCGAGUGGUAGCCGCUAUUAUUGGGUCUAAAGGGUCCGUAGCCGGUUCGAUAAGUCCUCUGGGAAAUCUGGUUGCUUAACAAUCAGACUGCCAAGGGAUACUGUCGAACUUGAGACCGGGAGAGGUAAGAGGUACUUCAGGGGUAGGAGUGAAAUCUUGUAAUCCCUGGGGGACCAUCUGUGGCGAAGGCGUCUUACCAGAACGGGUCUGACGGUGAGGGACGAAAGCUGGGGGCGCAAACCGGAUUAGAUACCCGGGUAGUCCCAGCCGUAAACGAUGCUCGCUAUGUGUCAGGUACGGUGUGACCGUAUCUGGUGCCGUAGGGAAGCCGUGAAGCGAGCCACCUGGGAAGUACGGCCGCAAGGCUGAAACUUAAAGGAAUUGGCGGGGGAGCACUACAACGGGUGGAGCCUGCGGUUUAAUUGGAUUCAACGCCGGGA